rnacentral:lncRNA from 1 species
CAAGGUGAACUUCGGGGCGGUGACCAAGGUGUGGGGCGCCUGGGCCGAGUCCGCCGCCGCCGCCGCGUCCGGGGUCAAGGUGCGCGUCUCGGUGCUCGCCAAGUCUGAGUUGGUGGCGGCGGCGGCCGAGCCCAAGAGCCCGGUCGCCCUGGCAGCCUUCGACGGCUUCUUCUCUGCUUAACGAGUAGUGUGUGAAUUGAUUCGGAGGAGUUUACCUCUCCCCCAGUGUCAUGUACUGUAACUCCGAUGUGUACAUAACCGUGUGGUUUGCUGAUUUGCAACAAGGAAGAAGUGUGCUUUUUGUACCGCUCUUGGUACCUUCUUGGAGGGCAGAUAUGCCUAUGCGUUUUGCCAUUUUAUCUUUGAAAUUUCGUGUCAAGCUGCCAACAGACUAGUCUGGUUGUCUUGGCAUACUCGAGUGGUUUUGCCGACUGCUGAUGCUUGUUUGAAGCCCCAACCUUCAUCCAAUCCCUUCAAAUCUUUAUUUAUCCCUAAUACAUUAGGUAGAAGUAGUGUAUUGAGUAUUGAGAAAAAUGCAUUAUAAUUUGAGGAGAAAUAUGGGGAUGAAACAUGUCAAAUACACUAGAAUAAAAUGGUGUUAUGGGAUGUGUGGUGAUCGAGUAGUUUGACCAGAAUAAUCCCCAUAAAUUUCCUAAAAUACACUAGUACCAACGAGUAGUUUGACCAGAAUAAUCCCCAUAAAUUUCCUAAAAUACACUAGUACCAAACAAGUCCUUGAUGGUGGCACCCCGACACAGCAAUAGCUCAUCAUAUGAAACCAAAAUGGGGUUAUUAUGGCCCGGUUUAAAGGCGUUAAACAGGGAUGCAAACAUGUUCGCCAAAUCAGCGGCGAUGAGGACCGAAGACCGCCGCGUCAAGUGGCAGGGCUGAAACCGCAUCACCUCCAUACAGGUUUACUAGAUGUGAGAAAAUUCGUUUGGUAGCGUACACGGAGGUCUAGUUUGCACUCACACGAAUCAUAAAGCAGCUCAUAGCAUGGCUAGUUAGAGCAUCUUCAACAAACGAGGCUGGGCGCGCGUAACGACCGUUUUUGCGACGCUGCAAAUUUUUAACACGUCAACAUGUCGCUUCAACAGACGCUAUAACAAAUCAAGCGCGCGUUCAGCUGAUGCACAUAUAAGAUGAUCAAACAUUCAAAAUAUGCAAAGUUUGCACAAACAAAAUGAGCACAAGCAAGUUCAUGACAAACAAGUUCACACAAAUAAAUUAAACAUGAACAAUCAUUCUUCAUCCUCUUCUUUCCGCAAAAAAGAAAAAUUCUUUAUCCUCUUCCUCAUCGUUGGCCUCUUUCGAUUUGUCCGUUUCUUCUUCUGAUUUUUCAUCCUCUUGUUUGUUCUCUUUCUCAUUGAAAAGUCGAAUGGUGUUUGAACUAUCAAUAAAGUAGCAGUUCAUAGCAUGGCUAGUUAGAGCAUCUUCAACAAACGAGGCUAGGCACGCGUAACGACCGUUUUUGUGCUUCAUCAGACGCUGCAAAUUUUUAACACGUCAACAGACGCUAUAACAAAUCAAGCGCGCGUUCAGCUGACGCACAUAUAAGAUGAUCAAACAUUCAAAAUAUGCAAAGUUUGCACAAACAAAAUAAGCACAAGCAAGUUCAUGACAAACAAGUUCACACAAAUAAAUUAAACAUGAACAAUCAUUCUUCAUCCUCUUCUUUCUGCAAAAAAAAUAAUUCUUUAUCCUCUUCCUCAUCGUUGGCCUCUUUCGAUUUGUCCGUUUCUUCUUCUGAUUUUUCAAUCUCUUGUUUGUUCUCCUUUUCAUUGAAAAGUCGAACGGUGUUUGAACUAUCAAUAAAGGUAUCAUACAAGGCAUGUGAGGCACACCGAAAACUCCCAUCCAUCCAUGCCAUCGAAAGCAUGUGAGAACAACUAUGCCAUCGAAAGCAUGUGAGAACAACUAAAAUCAGACUACAUAUGCGCACAUUUGCCAACAACAACAAAAUAAAAACAAAAAUUGUACCUUGUGAGCAUUUCAUCAAGGAUUAUGUGUGCAUUGGCCGCCGACGCAACAAAUUGCGAGGUUUUCACCGCUUCGCGCGGCGGAGGUACGGCCGGCUUCACUCGUGUCUUCUUCUUUAUUACCGCUUUCCNNNNNNNNNNNNNNNNNNNNNNNNNNNNNNNNNNNNNNNNNNNNNNNNNNNNNNNNNNNNNNNNNNNNNNNNNNNNNNNNNNNNNNNNNNNNNNNNNNNNUUGAGGGCCAAGGCAGGAGAGCCACACGGGGCCCACAAGCCCUGUAGCCGCCACCACGGGGGGGGGGGGCUACCAGUCUUGUGGACCCCCUGGAGCUCCCCUGCCCUAGCUCUUUCGCCUAUAAAUUCCCUAAAAUCCCAGAAAAAAAUCAGGGCAUCCACGAAAACACUUUUCCGCCGCCGCAAGCUUCCGUUUCCGCGAUAUCUCAUCUGGAGACCCUUCCCGGUGCCCUGCCGAAGGGGACUUUGGAGUUGGAGGGCUUCUACAUCAACAUCAUCACCUCUCCAAUGACUCGUGAGUAGUCCACUUCAGACCUACACGUCCGUAGCUAGUAGCUAGAUGGAUUCUUCUCUCUCUUGGAUCUUCAAUACAAAGUUCUCCAUGAUCUUCAUGGAGAUCUAUCCUAUGUAAUCCUCUUUGGUGGUGUGUUUGUCGAGAUCCGAUGAAUUGUGGAUUUGUGAUCAGAUUAUCUAUGAAUUGUAUUUGAGUCUUUGCUGAUUUCUUAUAUGAUGAUUUGAUAUCCUUGUAAGUCUCUCCGAGUCUUGGUUUUGUUUGGCCAACUAGAUCUAUGAUUCUUGCAAUGGGAGAAGUGCUUGGUUUUGGGUUCAUACCGUGUGGUGACCUUUCCCAGUGACAGAAGGGGCAGCAAGGCACACAUCAUGUUGUUGCCAUCAAGGGUAAUAAGAUGGGCUUUUAUCAUAGAUAUGAGAUUGUCCAUCUACAUCAUGUCAUCUUGCUUAAGGCGUUACUCUGUUCUUAUGAACCUAAAACACUAGAUGCAUGCUGGAUAGCGGUCGACGUGUGGAGUAAUAGUAGUAGAUGCAGAAAGUAUCGGUCUACUUGCUUUGGACGUGAUGCCUAUAGAUAUAAUCAUUGCCAUAGAUAACAUCACGACUUUGCGCGGUUCUAUCAAUUGCUCGACAGUAAUCCGUUCACCCACGGUCUAAUUGCUUUCAUGAGAGAAGCCACUAGUGAACACCACGGCCCCGGGUCUAUCCAUAACUAUCGUCUCCACUUCCACUUUUACUUUGCUUUUUUACCUUUUUGCUUUCAGUUCUCACUUUGCAAACAAUCUAUAAGGGAUUGACAACCCCUUCAUAGCGUUGGGUGCAAGCUCUUUGUGUUUGUGCAGGUACUUGUGACUCGACGCGAUCCUCCCACUGGAUCGAUACCUUGGUUCUCAAACUGAGGGAAAUACUUACCGCCGCUGUGCUACAUCACCCUUUCCUCUUCAAGGGAACACCAACACAAGGCUCCAAGGCCGCGGGGAAAUCCUUUGCAUAUUUGCCAAGGAAGUCCCUAUAGGCGUAGCCAGUAGCAGCAGGAUUCCUGGCGCCGUUGUCAGGGAAGGUCUGUUGUCACAGUAGCAGAAGGAUUUCUAGAGCCGUUGCCGGGGAGGAGGAUCGCUUGCCGAGGAGUAUCAAGACAAGAAUAAUCUCCCGUCAACACGCCUAUUUCUAGCAUGGGGAAGGGAGAUCAAGUCAAGAUCUAUCAAAGUAGGUGUCACAAACUCAUCUCUUGCAUUUACUUUUUUUGCCAGUUGCCUCUCGUUUUCCUCUCCCCCACUUCACAUUUGCCGUUUUCAUUUGCCUUUCUCCUUUGCCGUUUUAUUUUUCCUUUUCUCCUUUGCCGUUUUCAUUUGCCUUUCUCCUUUGCCGUUUUCUUUUUUCCUUUUGCCGUUCUCUUUUGCCCGUUUCACUCACUUUCUUCCUGCUCGUUUGUGUGUGGGAUAGUCCAUCAAUGGCUAGACCCACCACUCCAAACGAUACCCCUGAGAACGAAGUUCUCAGUUUCAAGCAGAAUGAGGAAGAAAAUUUAAAGGACACUUGGUACAGGAUUUGCAAUGCUCAAAGUAGAUCUACUCGUAAGCAGUCCACUACCGUUCUUCUUCGCAGUUCUUAUGUUGGAAUCUCUCCUUGGAAUAGGUAUAUUCUUGAUACCAUCGUAGGCGGGAAUUUUUUGGGGAUCCAUACCGUUGACUCCUAUGGAGCUAUCAUGAAUUUGGUAGGCUCACCCCCGCUCAUGGUUAAUGGAACUACCUUGACCUUGGAACACGUGAUGCAAAGGCUUGACGCUAUUGAAAACAAAAUUGCCACAAUUGAAUUUAUUGAGGGUUUGGAUGGAAAGAUCCACAAUCAAAUUACUCAGUACGGAUCCAAAGUGGGAAUGGUUUUGAAAAAUUUAAGGGAGAAGGAACCUAUAGUUAAUGAUUCCUCUAGAAUUGGCAAACUAGAAGAUGUCAUAACCAACUUGGGUUGUGCUUUUGCCGCUGUGCAAAAUACUCCAAAUCUCACUCUCAAAAAGACCGUCAAGUCUGUUUUUGUUCCUAAAGCUAGUGGUGAGUCAUCCAAUAAAUAUGAAGACCUUAAGAUGAUAAAUGAUCACGCUACUUAUGGUUUGAGCACCAAAGAUGACUAUACGUGAUUCCAUCACCUUUUGCCUAGCUAAGGGCGUUAAACAAUAGCGCAUGUUGGGAGGCAACCCAACGAAUCUAUCAUUUUUCUUUCUAUUUUGUGUUUUCCACACUUUCAUAAUUCUGUUAUGAUUGUGUUUUUUGUGUUUCUUUUUGCGUUUGUGCCAAGUGAAACCGUUAUGAUUAAUCUUGGGGAUGAUCGUUUGGUCAUGCUGGAAAAGACAGAAACUUUCUGUUAACGAAAAGAAUUUUCAUUUUUUUUAUGUAAGAGAUUUUGAGUUGAUUCUUUUUUGCUUCUGAUUGCUACGCACAUUCUUCAGACUGUUGUAAUUUUUCAGAAUUUUGGAAGUACCAGAAGUAUACGAAGUAUACAGAUUGCUACAGACUGGUCUGCUGUUAACAGAUUCUGUUUUUGUUGAGUUGGUUGCUUAUUUUGAUGAAACUAUGGAUAGUACCGGGGGGUAUUAGCCAUGGAAGAUUGAAAAUACAGUAACCCAACAUCAACAUAAGUAGAAUUUAUUAAGUUUUCUACAGUACCUAAGGAAGUGGUGGUUUGCUUUCUUAUACUAAUGAUAUCACGAGUUUCUGUUUAAAUUUCGUGUUGUGAAGUUUUCAAGUUUUGGGUGAAGUUCUUAUGGACAAAGAGAUAAAGAGUGGCAAGAUCUCAAGCUUGGGGAUGCCCAAGGCACCCCAAGUUGAUUCAAGGAUGCCGUAAAAGCCUAAGCUUGGGGAUGCCCCGGGAAGGCAUCCCCUNNNNNNNNNNNNNNNNNNNNNNNNNNNNNNNNNNNNNNNNNNNNNNNNNNNNNNNNNNNNNNNNNNNNNNNNNNNNNNNNNNNNNNNNNNNNNNNNNNNNUUGAGGGCCAAGGCAGGAGAGCCACAGGGGGCCCACAAGCCCUGUAGCCGCCACCAGGGGGGCCGGCGGCUACCAGGCUUGUGCCCGCCUGGAGCUCCCCUGCCCUAGCUCUUUCGCCUAUAAAUUCCCUAAAAUCCCAGAAAAUAUUAGGGCAUCCACGAAAACACUUUUCCGCCGCCGCAAGCUUCCGUUUCCGCGAGAUCUCAUCUGGAGACCCUUCUCGGUGCCCUGCCGGAGGGGACUUUGGAGUUGGAGGGCUUCUACAUCAACAUCAUCGCCUCUCCAAUGACUCGUGAGUAGUCCACUUCAGACCUACGGGUUCGUAGUUAGUAGCUAGAUGGCUUCUUCUCUCUCUUGGAUCUUCAAUACAAAGUUCCCCAUGAUCUUCAUGGAGAUCUAUCCGAUGUAAUCCUCUUUGGCGGUGUGUUUGUCGAGAUCCGAUGAAUUGUGGAUUUGUGAUCAGAUUAUCUAUGAAUUAUAUUUGAGUCUUUGCUGAUUUCUUAUAUGCAAGAUUUGAUAUCCUUGUAAGUCUCUCCGAGUCUUGGGUUUUGUUUGGCCAACUAGAUCUAUGAUUCUUGCAAUGGGAGAAGUGCUUGGUUUUCGGUUCAUACCGUGUGGUGACCUUUCCCAGUGACACAAGGGGCAGCAAGGCACGCAUCAUGUUGUUGCCAUCAAGGGUAACAAGAUGGGCUUUUAUCAUAGAUAUGAGAUUGUCCAUCUACAUCAUGUCAUCUUGCUUAAGGCGUUACUCUGUGAUACGUCUCCAUCGUAUCAACUUUUCCAAACUCUUUUGCCCUUGUUUUGGACUCUAAUUUGCAUGAUUUGAAUGGAACUAACCCGCACUGACGCUGUUUUCAGCAGAAUUGCCAUGAUGUUGUUUUUGUGCAGAAAUGGAAGUUCUCAGAACGUCCUGAAAAAUUACGUNAUACGUCUCCAUCGUAUCAACUUUUCCAAACUCUUUUGCCCUUGUUUUGGACUCUAAUUUGCAUGAUUUGAAUGGAACUAACCCGCACUGACGCUGUUUUCAGCAGAAUUGCCAUGAUGUUGUUUUUGUGCAGAAAUGGAAGUUCUCAGAACGUCCUGAAAAAUUACGUAGAAUUUUUCUGGAAAAUAUGAAAAAUACGUGCGCAAAGAUCCAUCGGAGGGGAUGGGCCAGUGGGCCACAAGCCCUGUUGCCGCGGCCUCCCCCAUGGCCGCGGCGACCAAGCUUGUGGGGCCCACGUGGGUCUGCCGCCCCCAACUCCAGCUCUAUAAAUUCACUUUCUUUCCGAAAAAAGUCAGAAGAGAAGAUUUCAUCGCGUUUGCGAUACAGAGGCGCCGCCACAUCUUGUUCUUCAUCUGGAGGGCAGAUCUGGAGUCCGUUUUGGGCUCCGGAGAGGGGAAAUCGUCGCCAUCGUCAUCAUCAACCUUCUUCCCUCUCCAAUUCCAUGAAGCUCUUCAUCGUUCGUGAGUAAUCUAUUCGUAGGCUCGCUAGGCGGUGAUGAGUAGGAUGAGAUCUAUCUUGUAAUCGAGUUAGUUUUGACGGGGAUUGAUCCCUAGUAUCCACUAUGUUCUGAGAUUGAUGUUGCUACUACUUUGCCAUGCUUAAUACUUGUCACUAGGGUCCGAGUGCCUGAUUUCAGAUCUCAAAUUAUUAUGUUGUCACCAAUAUAUGUGUGUUUUAGAUCCGAUCUUGCAGGUUGUAGUUACCUACUAUGUGUUAUGACCCGACAACCCCGGAGUGACAAUAACCGGAACCACUCCCGGUGAUGACCGUAAUUUGAGGAGUUCAUGUGUUCACCAAGUGCUAAUGCGUUGUUCCGGUACUUUAUUAAAAGGAGAACCUUAAUAUCCCGUAGUAUCCUUUUGGACCCCGCUGCCACGGGAGGGAUGGACAAUAGAUGUCAUGCAAGUUCUUUUCCCUAAGCACGUAUGACUACACACGGAAUGCAUGCCUACAUCACAUUGACGAACGGGAGCUAGCCACAUAUCUCUCCGUGUUAUAACUGUUGCAUGAUGAAUGUCAUCCAAACGAAUCACCGACCCAUUGCCUACGGGUUUGUCCCACUGCUGCUGUUACUUGUUUUGCUCUGCUGCUAUUACUACUGUUGCUGCUACUGUUACUUGCUUUGCUCUGCUGCUGUCACCACUGUUGCUACUGUUGCUACUUGCUACUGCUAUUACUUGCUACUGUUGCUACUUGCUACUGCUAUCACUACUGCUGUUCCUUGCCACCGCUGAUACUCGUUACACUGCUACUACUUGCUAGAAUACCUUUUUUCUUGCGCCGUUGACGGGAAAGAAUAUUUUCCGUCCACGGUCAACUUCUGGCGCCAUUGAUAUGACCGUUAGGAAUAGUCUGCCAUCAACAAAUCGUUUCUGACACUGUUGUUAUCAUACUACUUUGUUGCUGAUACUUUGCUUGCAGAUACUAAUCUUUCAGGUGCGGUUGAAUCUGACACAUUCAGCUGCUAAUACUUGAGAGUAUCCUUUCACUUCCUGACGGGCGAACCAACAAAUUUGGGUUGAAUACUCUACCCUCGAAAACUGUCGUGAACCCAUGCGCUGGUGGGCCAUUGCAAGACAAUUGCUAAUUGUUGAGCAACUCGGAGCAAUUCUGGCUCUGUUGUCGCGAAGGCAUCAAUUCAGGGACACGUCAACAACAUUCUUCUAGUGUCGUUGCCGGGGACUGCCGUCAGCAGCAUUUUUUUGGCACCGUUGCCGGGGUAGGGAUUGCUAUAUUCUCUGAGUCACUUGGGAUUUAUAUCUGCUGAUCACUAUGAAGAAUCUGAAAGACCCAGAAACCAAAGUCUUGCCCUCAACUACGAGGGGAGGUAAGGAACUGCCAUCUAGCUCUGCACUUGAUUCACCUUCAGUUAUGAGUAAGUUUGCGACAUCACCUCCUUCUAGAAAUCUUGAUAUGUCGCCUGUGCUUGAUGAUGCUUAUGAUGCUACUGCUAGAGAUGCUAUGCCUGAUACUGCUAGAGAUGCUAUGCCUGAUACUGCUUUGCCUGAUGAUGCUAGAGAUGCUAUUUUGCCUGAUGAUGCUAUGCUUGAUACUGCUAGAGAUACUACUUUGCCUGAUGUGCCACUAGGGGUAUUCCUUGAUGCUCAUAUUGCUAGAGUUACUGCCAAUGCUCGUGAUGCUUCUGAAACUGCCGAUACUAUUGAGAUAGAACCUGCUUUUGCUCCUGCUAGAUCUAGCUCUCCUAGAUAUGAAUUGCCUGAUAUACUUGAGGGUUACGUUAUGGAGGGAGAGAUAGCUGAGGAUUUUCUUGCGUGUAAGGAUACCUAUGACACUGAGAAAUUACUUCUCAAGUGGAAGGAAAAAUCUCUGAAAGCUAGGAUGAAAUACGACCCGAAGUUUGCCACUUCACCUAUCUUUAUCACCGAUAAGGAUUAUGAAUUCGCCCUAUAGNNNNNNNNNNNNNNNNNNNNNNNNNNNNNNNNNNNNNNNNNNNNNNNNNNNNNNNNNNNNNNNNNNNNNNNNNNNNNNNNNNNNNNNNNNNNNNNNNNNNAGAGAAACUUACCUGCGCUCACCUGAAGCGGCCCAGCCCAUCAGGGGCACCACUGUCUUCUUCCUCCUCCCAGGAGGAGAAGCAGUUGCGUGCCCGACGCAUCGCCGGGCACCGCCACGUCCCCUAGCCACCUCCUGCUCGCCCCCGUCCUUAUCUCCUCGCCCGUGGAUGCCCCAGACCCCCCCUUGAGCUCAUCCUCCUCUCCUCUCUCUAGGUUCCCCUUCUCUCUCUCUGCUUUCCCUCGUUGCCUCCAUUGCCGAGCUAGAGCUCGAGCUCGCCUCUCUGGUCUCCGGCCUUCCCUCGCCUCUCCGAGAAGCCCAGAAGGACCGCCCCGAUGCCCUGCUCCUCCUCGCCAUUGGAAUCGAGCCCGGACGACCCCUGUCGUCGCCAUCGCCGUUGUCUUCCUCACCUCCGGCCACCGGCCCCCUUCCAUCGAUUCACCCCCUCCGACGCGACCCCGACCUCCCCGUCACCGCAAAUGGAACCGUCGUGAGCUCACCGUCAUUUCCCCUCUCUUUCCACGUUCUCCCGUGCCGUGUAGCCCCGCUCCCCGCCACGGCCGAACCCCGCCGCCGCUUAGGCUCGUCGCCGGCACCUCUCCGGCGACCUAGCCCCCCCUUCGAGCCCCCUGUGCGAUGUGGUCGAGCCUGGGCUACGCCCAAGUGCUCUCAGCGCUUGUUUCCGGCCCCUGUAGUGCCAUCUAGGCAACUCCGGCGAGCCCUCCGCCGCGGGCUUGGUCGCCAACGACCACCCUCCGGUGAGGGCCAACGUGGCCAGUCGUUAGCCAGUACUAACCCCCCCCCCCAGAGCCACUGCCAGAGGGCCCCACGCCUGGUCAAACCCCAAUUAGGGGCUGGUCAGCGCGGGGUUAGCCUCUGGGUCACUGACCAGUGGGCCCCACUGGUCAGGGUUUGACCUGGCCGGCCAGUUGAACUGCUGACGUCAGUACUGAUGCAAUAUUAGUAUUUCUGUUUAUAAAAUAAAUCCAGGAAAUUGCUAAAACUUGUAAAAAUCAUAGAAAUUAAAAUAUAACUCGGAUGAAAAUAAUUUAUAUAUGAAAAAGUAUCAGAAAAAUCCAAGGAAUCUGAUUAUGGCAUUUUCNNNNNNNNNNNNNNNNNNNNNNNNNNNNNNNNNNNNNNNNNNNNNNNNNNNNNNNNNNNNNNNNNNNNNNNNNNNNNNNNNNNNNNNNNNNNNNNNNNNNACUCACUAUAGGGCGGGCAACAUAUUUUAAAAACACCGACAACCGACCGACGGUAGACCGAAUACGGUGCCGCUACGGUCGACCGUUCGGGUACUAGACGGACUCCGAUUGCGAUGAAACUUGACACGCGGCCUACCUAUAUUAAAAUACGACCGCACGUCAAAUAUCAACCCAAUCAGAGAAGGUUUUAUGCACACUUUUAAAACAAGGUUUUGACGAUGCCGCGGGCGCGUGCGUGUGCGGUCGGGCUCAGAACGGACAACGACGAGAACCGGCAACAAACAACGGAUGCAAGUUUUGGAAACUGGCGGCAACGGAGAUGCCGAUGCAAUGCAGAUGAUGCGCAUGAUGCGAUGAUGAUGCAGCAAAAGAAAAUAGACACACGACGAAAACGGAAUAGAAGGGGAAUCUUCUGGAACGUCGGCCUCGGGCUGUCACAACUCUCCUACACUAUAAGAGGAUCUCGCCCCGAGAUCCAAGAAUGAAAGGAAGAGGGGAUAAGAAAGCAAGAGGUAAAACUUAAUCGCUUCUUUGACAAAUGAGUGAAACCAACAUCCUUGAAGGUUGCAAAGAGAUGAGGAAUGAUAAGAGAAACAAGCAAGAAUUCACGGAAAAUUUCGGCAGCACUUCGGUAGGAAAAUGGGACAAAAAAUUCGAUAAGAUAGGAGAAAUAGACAAUAUUCAUUACAAACAACUAAAUAGAACAAGGGAACACUAUGAUCUUGGUAGACCAACAUAAUAGACCCAAAAGAGCAACAUCACAAUGCCUCCGGAACAAUAGAAUAGGAACUAGCUCAUACGGAAGAAGAGAAUGAAGAGAGAAUGACAACUACUCACUCCAAUGAACUUGGCAAGCAUCCUUGCAAGAAGAAUUGGACGGAGUUGUUGGAAAACAACAGCGAAAGAACAAGAAAGUAGUGGGCUUAUGGAAACCUUUUCAAACUAAUGAAGUGACAACCAGCCACUAACAGAACAAGGAUUGAUUGGGAGAAACAAGAUAUGAACAAUUCCUUACACCAAGAGGAUACAUUGAGAACUUGGAUUAAUGACAAGCACCAUGAUAGCAACAAUCCAUAGGAAAAUCUUUAGGUGAAAUCCAAACCAAGAUAGCUCAAUGAAGAAAUCAUGGGUUGAAAACAUCUCAUGAUCAUAGAAUUGGUGGGUUUAAUUAUCUCAUUCUUGAAAGGAAAUCUCUUCGAAACUCCUACACUAACAAGAAUGCUAUAAUACCACCUCAAAGGAUAAAGGAGAACAAUUGCACAUAGAAAUGCAAGAGAAGAAAACUUGAGGUUCUCCAAUAAGAAUCUUGAAGAACACUUUGAGAAUGAAUUGACAUCAUGAGCCGCUCCGGAAGAAGAAUUCAGAUUACUAUGAACAAGAAUAAGAAUUAUGUUAUGCUUAUCCUUCAUCAAAUUAAGUUGAUGAGAAGCAACGGAUUUAGCAUACCACUUAUUCUUCUUGAAAGAACCUUGAAGAGAUAGAGAGAUAAGCACCACUUGAAGCACAAUUGAAUGAAGCACCGGCAAGAAUUCGAGCUCNNNNNNNNNNNNNNNNNNNNNNNNNNNNNNNNNNNNNNNNNNNNNNNNNNNNNNNNNNNNNNNNNNNNNNNNNNNNNNNNNNNNNNNNNNNNNNNNNNNNGAGAUUUGAAAACAAGCGGGGCAACUGGACUACGGGGUCAGAGGGGAUGACUGCUCCACCUAUACUAAGCAGAUUUAAAGUACAGGACUGAAAGUAGCAGUUCAUCAAAAAUAGGUUAUGCAUCAGAUAUAGGAGCUAACUACAACAGUAGCAAAAUACUAAUGCAAGCAGUAGGAAGAAAGACAUAGGCAAUAUAGGAAUGAUCAAGGGGGGGUUUGCUUGCCUUGCUGCUCUGCGGCAAAGGACUGAUCGGCAGGGUCAUAGAUGUACCCGGCAGCAGAGUCAGUCUCGGGGCCUACCGGUAAGAAGAGGGGGAAGAAACAAUAAAUAAUAGCAACGGUGUGUUGGAAUUAUGCCCUAGAGGCAAUAAUAAAUAUAGUUAUUAUUAUAAUUCAUGUAUCAAGAUAACCGUUUAUUAUCCAUGCUAUAAUUGUAUUGAAUGAAGACUUAUAUACAUGUGUGGAUACAUAGACAAAACACUGCCCCUAGCAAGCCUCUAGUUGGCUAGCCAGUUGAUCAAAGAUAGUCACUGUCUUCUGAUUAUGAACAAGGUGUUGUUGCUUGAUAACUGGAUCACGUCAUUAGGAGAAUCACGUGAUGGACUAGACCCAAACUAAUAGACGUAGCAUGUUGAUCGUGUCAUUUUGUUGCUACUGUUUUCUGCGUGUCAAGUAUUUGUUCCUAUGACCAUGAGAUCAUAUAACUCACUGACACCGGAGGAAUACUUUGUGAGUAUCAAACGUCGCAACGUAACUGGGUGACUAUAAAGAUGCUCUACAGGUAUCUCCGAAGGUGUUCGUUGAGUUAGUAUGGAUCGAGACUAGGAUUUGUCACUCCGUGUGACGGAGAGGUAUCUUGGGGCCCACUCGGUAAUACAACAUCACACACAAGCCUUGCAAGCAAUGUGACUUAAUGUAAGUUGCGGGAUCUUGUAUUACGGAACGAGUAAAGAGACUUGCCGAUAAACGAGAUUGAAAUAGGUAUACGGAUACUGACGAUCGAAUCUCGGGCAAGUAACAUACCGAAGGACAAAGGGAAUGACAUACGGGAUUAUAUGAAUCCUUGGCACUGAGGUUCAAACGAUAAGAUCUUCGUAGAAUAUGUAGGAUCCAAUAUGGGCAUCUAGGUCCCGCUAUUGGAUAUUGACCGAGGAGUCUCUCGGGUCAUGUCUACAUAGUUCUCGAACUCGCAGGGUCUGCACACUUAAGGUUCGACGUUGUUUUAUGCGUAUUUGAGUUAUAUGGUUGGUUACCGAAUGUUGUUCGGAGUCCCGAAUGAGAUCACGGACGUCACGAGGGUUUCCGGAAUGGUCCAGAAACGAAGAUUGAUAUAUAGGAUGACCUCAUUUGAUUACCGGAAGGUUUUCGGAGUUACCGGGAAUGUACCGGGAAUGACGAAUGGGUUCUGGGAGUUCACCGGGUGGCAACCCACCCCGGGGAAGCCCAUAGGCCUUGGGGGUGGCACACCAGCCCUUAGUGGGCUGGUGGGACAGCCCAAGAAGGCCCUAUACGCCAUGGGAAGAAAAUCAAAGAGAAAAGAAAAAAAAGGAGGAGGUNNNNNNNNNNNNNNNNNNNNNNNNNNNNNNNNNNNNNNNNNNNNNNNNNNNNNNNNNNNNNNNNNNNNNNNNNNNNNNNNNNNNNNNNNNNNNNNNNNNNUCAACAGCGGCUAAGCAUAUAUUUGGUGGCUAACUUACGAGUACAAGAAAUAAUAGGGAAGAUCUACGCAUAACGGACGUGAGCUACUGAUGAUCAAAAGAAUGAUCCUGAACACCUACCUACGUCAGACAUAACCCCACCGUGUCCUCGAUCGGAGCAGGGCUCACGAAAGAGACAGUCACGGUUACGCACACAGUUGGCAAGUUUUAAUUAAGUUAACUUCAAGUUAUCUAGAACCGGUGUUAAACAAAGCUUCCACGUUGCCACAUAACCGCGGGCACGGCUUUCCGAAAGAUUUAACCCUGCAGAGGUGCUCCAACUAGUCCAUCACAAAUUACCACAAGCCGCAUAGAAAUCCUCAAUCACGAAGCUCGCGAUCUCGUCGGAUUCCCUAGUGGAAAACCUCAACUGUGAGAUUACCCAAAGCAUCACCGGAAUCCCGAUGCACAAGAUAUCUCGUCAAAGGUAAAACUAAUCCAGCAAGGCCGCCCGACGUGUCGACGAUCCCGAUAUGAGUCGCGUACCUCGUUCUCAGGACACGACGGAUGAGCGAUGGUUACCACGCCAAACGCCGAGUUGCCCCGGGUAGCAUUAAUAAGCUGCUCUGUUUUGGACCAACACUCAUGAGGAGCACUGGCCCGGGGGUUUAUUAAAAUAGUCCGCGGGUGCCGGCGGGUCCCUAUGCAUUAUUAUUAGGUUAUUAGGCAAAUGUAGUACCAAAGUUGGGCCUUGCCAGACCAGCUUUAAUCUAAAACGAAUUAUCAAGGGGGUCCCCAUAACAACCCCGAUCGUGUUAGGAGCGCUCAAUUAUGGAACAUAACACCGGUAGCCGGAAACUAAGGGGGCAAAGGUGGAACAAAACACCAGGCUAGAAAGGCCGAGCCUUCCACCUUUUACCAAGUAUAUAGGUGCAUUAAAUUAAAUAGCAUUUAAAUAUGGUGAUAUAACAAGGAACCCAUGUAAUCACAUGGAAUCAACUGCACCUGCAACUAGCAACGCUAUCAACAGGGUUAAGCUAGCAGUAACAUAGCCAAUAAGUGGUUUGCUAGGUCGAACAGGUUGAAGGUUUCAUGGCAUUGUUGAGAGGCUAAUAUUUAACAUGUGGUAGGCAACGAGACAUAAACGGUAGCAACGGUAAAACUAGCAUGGCAAUGAUAGUAAUGGUAUCUGGGGAAAUGGUCAUCUUGCCUGAGAUCCCGCUUGGAAGAAGAACAUCUCUGUGAAGCAGGCGAACCAACGUAGUCGAACGGGUCCUCACAUUCCGACACGCUUGCGGAACUCUAUCGAGACGGAGCAAACCGGAAACAAAUAUCAACACAGAUAUUCACCACACGAUGCACAACAUGAUGCAUACCCUAAUAUGAUGCAUGAUCAAUUCAAUAUGCAAGGGAUGGCAUGGCAAAUCACCUCACGCAAACACUACACAUCAAUUGAAGCUCGAUAUGCAACGGGUUACAUACCGACGAAACUCCACGAUUAAUUAUUUAGUUCACUCCCGUUUAUUUACACGGCAACAUUAAAUGUUGUUAACAUGGCAAGGGGUGAAGCGAUGAUCCUACGUGUCAUCCUAGUCGGUUUAACUCGCGGAACAAGAGCGGAACUACGGCACGGGAGACAUGCAACACAAGAUCAUAUGCCAUGAAUGCGUCAUGCACGCAAGUUCAAACAUCACGGGCAAGAAGAGAAGGAAACAUGUGUCGCCACGGCAAGCGAGAGGGAACCAUGGCGGCAAGACGGAAACGAAGCCACGACAACGUUCCCAUCCCGAUACUCGUCGAGAUAUCGUGCCAACGAUCUGGAAGCGUGUGCGGGAUCACUAAAUAAGAAUGGGGUGAUCCCGUAUAUCGGGUUCCCAUGUGUCGAGGCACGACGAAAGAAGACAACGGGCAACGGGCCACAUACGGUGCAAACAUACAUUCAACUCAUACAACACAUGCAUACGGUUCUCGACGCGUACCAACGGUAUACNNNNNNNNNNNNNNNNNNNNNNNNNNNNNNNNNNNNNNNNNNNNNNNNNNNNNNNNNNNNNNNNNNNNNNNNNNNNNNNNNNNNNNNNNNNNNNNNNNNNNGUCGUGUGAUUAGAUUUAUUCGUUGCAUCGUCAUGUAGUUUGCAUCAUCGCAUCAUGCAUGGCAUCAUGUCAACUGUGUUUAGUCGGUGUCGCCUGCUGCUCCGUGUUGUUGGGUGAUAGUGCUUCAUGAGUGGCGUUGUUUUGUUGGAGUGAUGAAAGAGGGUGCGUGAGAGCCACCGCUAAGCCCUGUUGCACCGCGGACCUAAAACCUUCUCUCCCCUCUCAUUUCCUUUUUGUGGUUUGGCUAAAUACUUUAGUUUAGUUCCCUAUUUUAAAAAUUAAAGAUUCGUCUUCUUUUAAAGAAAAAACAUUUUAUUAAAUGUGGAGGCAACCCCUUGAGUUUUCUUCAUUUUCUCCUUUUGUUUUAUCUUUAAACAAUCUCAUUUUCUUAUCUCUUUUAAAGAACUUUUAUUUUACACUUUAAAUAAAAUAGGUUUAUUUUAUUCUUUUAAAAAAGGGUUUUGAUUUUUAAUUCUUUAAAAGGUUUCAUUUUACUCUUCGAAAAGGUUUCAUUUUUAUUUGUUUAAAGAGCCCGAUCUAUUUUUAUAGUUGGAGCAUGUUUUAAGGAGCCCAAAAGUAUUUUUGUUUUAGUAAAUUCCUUUUCUUCUGGUUGUGGGUUCCUCUUUUUUUUUUAAAAACCAGCUAUUUUAUUUUUUUGUGCAAGACAUUUUUUUAUUUUAGAAGGAGAGGACCCAGACCAAGGCCCAGCCGGCCAAGGCCCAGGCCCCCUCCAACCCUAGCGUCGUGCUGCGCCUCUCCCUCGUCACCCACAGCGCCGUCUCCUCCCGAUUCUCGUCUCCUCGUUCCCUGCUCCGCCCUGCCGCCUCCAGGUCCCCUUGCCUCGCCGUGGCCACCUCCCUCGCCCUCUCUUCUCCCCUCUACGCGCCGCCAGCCCCAGGCCCGAGCCGCACCGCCCUGCCAGCGCCGAGCCCCCUGCUCGCCGGCCUCCCCUGGUCCUCCUCGCCAUGCGGUCUCCCGCGCGCAGCCGUCCAUCUGCACGUCGAGCCGCCUCUCUGCUCCCCGUCCCCUGCGCCCGCAUCGCCGCCGGUGCCCGACCUGCGCGCCGCCCUCGCCCCCGAGUUCCCCGCGUGCUCGCCCUCGGCCUCGAGCUCGCCGCCCCGGUCGCAGCCUCCCUGCCAUGGCGACCUCGCCGUUCCCCGCGUCGCCCCUCNNNNNNNNNNNNNNNNNNNNNNNNNNNNNNNNNNNNNNNNNNNNNNNNNNNNNNNNNNNNNNNNNNNNNNNNNNNNNNNNNNNNNNNNNNNNNNNNNNNNGACUCACGGGAAGAUAUCACAACACAACUCUAGACACAAAUAAAAUAACAUCAGCUUCAUAUUACAAGCCAGGGGCCUCGAGGGCUAGAAUACGAAAGCUCGAUAAACACACGAGUCAGCGGAAGCAACAAAAUCUGAGUACAGACAUAAAACAUGGGGUGCCUUAGAGAAGGCUAGCACAAAAGAUACAACGAUCGAAUGAGGCGAGGCCUCCUACCUGGGAACCUCCUAACUACUCCUGAUCAUCAGCGGCCUCCACGUAGUAGUAGGCACCGUCGGGGUAGGAGUCGUCGUCGGCGGGAACCUCCAUCUCCUGGGCUCCAUCAUCUGGUCGCAGCAACGGAUCGAGGGGACAAGAGGGGGAGCAAAGCAGAAGUGAGUACUCAUCCAAAGUACUCGCAAGUCUUACAUCAGAACUAUUAUAAUUAUGCAUCAGUAUCAAAGAAGGGGGGGCUAUAUGUGGACUGACUGCAGCAAUGCGAGAAUAAAGAGAGAAGGCCUAGUCCUAUCGAAGACUAGCAUCUUCAGGGUCUUGCAGCAAUAGACGAGAGUAGAACAGGGGUAACACAUUAAAAGUCAUAUUGUUGCAGCAAUAUUAAAGUGAGGUCAUGCCUAAAGAUCCUCCCUCGACUCCCUGCGAGGAAGCAAUCCCGAGGCAAACUAAUUCCAGUUAAGUAACAAUUGUAGUUGUAUAAGAUCGGGGCACAACUCCAAGUCGUCCUNNNNNNNNNNNNNNNNNNNNNNNNNNNNNNNNNNNNNNNNNNNNNNNNNNNNNNNNNNNNNNNNNNNNNNNNNNNNNNNNNNNNNNNNNNNNNNNNNNNNAGUUGCUACUCAUGCUAAGUGGUUUCAACUAUUUACUGUGACAAAAUCAGGUCAUGCAAAGGAAUGGGUUCAACUACCGAUAACAUGUACAGUUGAAUCGUGUUUGUCCUAACGCAGUAAAAGAGAGCAGGAGCGAGAGAGUGGGUUUAUUUCAAUAUGCUCAAGGGGGUUUGCUUGCCUGACACGUCUGAAGAUAGCAAUGAGUCUUCAUCAAUGUCAACGAUCACAUCGUCGGAAACAUCGUUUACCGAGAGGGAACAACACCGGCAAACAAGAAGGAACAACAAUUACUUCACAGAAAUGCAACACUAUGAUGCAUGCUCAAGACAUGAAAUGAAAGGUGGCAGGCCUAAUGUGGCUAUCAUUACUUAAAUUGAAGUUGGUUUGAAUUAGGAUCCAAACAUCACUUCAAGCCGGUUAUUUUUCCGGAUACCCUUUUAAUUGAUUCAACCUGAAGCUCAAAACAAAUUGUUCCAACAUGUAUGGAGUUAGUAUCUUGAGGUACUGAUUUGCAUUGACCCUUGUUUGGUCAUAACAAUUGAAGUGAAAAUCAAAUAAGUAUCAAUUUCCAACUCCAAACUAUUUAUUAAAUUUACCCUAUUCAUCAUUUUGCCUAUUUAGUGUUGUUAACUUUUUCAAACAUGCAUGAAAAUGCCAUAAUCAGAUUCCUUGGAUUUUUCUGAUACUUUUUCAUAUAUAAAUUAUUUUCAUCCGAGUUAUAUUUUAAUUUCUAUGAUUUUUACAAGUUUUAGCAAUUUCCUGGAUUUAUUUUAUAAACAGAAAUACUAAUAUUGCAUCAGUACUGACGUCAGCAGGUCAACUGGCCGGCCAGGUCAAACCCUGACCAGUGGGGCCCACUGGUCAGUGACCCAGAGGCUAACCCCGCGCUGACCAGCCCCUAAUUGGGGUUUGACCAGGCGUGGGGCCCUCUGGCAGUGGCUCUGGGGGGGGGGGUUAGUACUGGCUAACGACUGGCCACGUUGGCCCUCACCGGAGGGUGGUCGUUGGCGACCAAGCCCGCGGCGGAGGGCUCGCCGGAGUUGCCUAGAUGGCACUACAGGGGCCGGAAACAAGCGCUGAGAGCACUUGGGCGUAGCCCAGGCUCGACCACAUCGCACAGGGGGCUCGAAGGGGGGGCUAGGUCGCCGGAGAGGCGCCGGCGACGAGCCUAAGCGGCGACGGGGUUCGGCCGUGGCGGGGAGCGGGGCUACGGGGCAUGGGAGAACGUGGAAAUAGAGGGGAAAUGACGGCGAGCUCACGACGGUUCCAUUUGCGGUGACGGGGAGGUCGGGAUCGCGUCGGAGGGGUUGAAUCGAUGGAAGGGGGCCGGUGGCCGGAGGUGAGGAAGACAAUGGCGAUGGCGACGACAGGGGUCAUCCGGGCUCGAUUCCAAUGGCGAGGAGGAGCAGGGCAUCGGGGCGGUCCUUCUGGGCUUCUCGGAGAGGCGAGGGAAGGCCGGAGACCAGAGAGGCGAGCUCGAGCUCUAGCUCGGCAAUGGAGGCAACGAGGGAAAGCAGAGAGAGAGAAGGGGAACCUAGAGAGAGGAGAGGAGGAUGAGCUCAAGGGGGGGUCUGGGGCAUCCACGGGCGAGGAGAUAAGGACGGGGGCGAGCAGGAGGUGGCUAGGGGACGUGGCGGUGCCCGGCGAUGCGUCGGGCACGCAACUGCUUCUCCUCCUGGCAGGAGGAAGAAUACAGUGGUGCCCCUGAUGGGCUGGGCCGCUUCAGGUGAGCGCAGGUAAGUUUCUCUCUCUCUCUUUUCCUAUUUUUCUUUUAUUUUCUUUCUGGCAUUUAGAUUUAGGAUUUUAAUAAAACAUUUAAUCAUUUUAUAAAACCCUAAAAUAGUAUUAUGUGACAGUAGUAAAAAUAAUCAAUGCCACAAANNNNNNNNNNNNNNNNNNNNNNNNNNNNNNNNNNNNNNNNNNNNNNNNNNNNNNNNNNNNNNNNNNNNNNNNNNNNNNNNNNNNNNNNNNNNNNNNNNNNAUUGAAUUCUUGGUUCUUGGUUAACUUUUCUGUGUGUGGGUUCUUAAGCUUAUGGUCUGUUGGGGAACAUUGCUGAGAAACAAAAAAUUUCCUACGCACACGCAAUACCUAUCCAUGGUGAUGAUCAUCUACCAGAGGGGAGAGUGAAUCUACAUACCCUUGUAGAUCGCUAAGUGGAAGCAUAUAUAACGCGUUUGAUGUAGUGGAACAUCUCCGCGAUUCAAAUCACAGCGUGUCCCGUGAUCUCAUCACGAUCCAUCCCGAUCUAGUGCCGAACGAACGACACCUCCGCGUUCAGCACACAUACAACUCGAUGACAAUCCCCACCUUGUUGAUCCAGCAAGAGGGGUGGAGAGGUAGAUGAGUUAUCCAACACGGAGGAAUGGUGGUGGUGAUGGUGGAUCUAUUCCAGCAGGGCUUCGCCUAAGCGUUGCUGAAAAACCGAUCUAGAGGAAGAACAAAUCUAGAGAGAAGUAGAGGGAGCAUGUGGCAAUUAGGGUUAGCCCUCACCUUUAAAACCUCUAGUAUAUAUAGGAGGGAGGGAGGGGAUGAGGCAGCCUCAAACCCUCAAGGUUUGGCCGAAAUUGGAGGUGCAGAAGUCCUACUCCAAUCCCACCAAGGGUAGGAUUCCCCUUCUCCACUUGGAAACCCUUUCCACCUUUUCCACCUUUGGGUUUCUUUCCUUCCCACCUCCAAUCCGCCUUGGGCUUUAUGGAGGCUUCGUACAGCCCACUAAGGCCUGGUCCAGAUCCUCCCACAGCCCAUGAGACCCUUUGGGGUGGGUGGGCCCACCUGGUGGACCCCAGAAACCCAUUCGUCACUCCCGGUACACUACCGAAAAUGUCUGAAACUUUUCCGGAGUUCAAAAACCACUUUCCUAUAUAUCAAGAUUUACCUCCGGACCAUUUCGGAGCUCGUCGUGAUGUCCAGGAUCUCAUCUGGGACUCCGAAAAACCUUCGGUUACCAACACCUAUAACUCAACUAUACCGAAACGUCACCGAACCUUCAGUGUGCAGACCCUGCGGGUUCGAAAACUAUGCAUACAUGACCUAAGACACUCCCCAGUCAAUAACUGAUGACCCUCAAGUAUAGGGGACCUAUCGUAGUCCUUUCGACAAGUAAGAGUGUCGAACCCAACGAGGAGCAGAAGGAUCCGACAAGUGGUUUUCAACAAGGUAAUAUAUGCAAGCACUGAAAUUGUCGGUAACAAGUAGUUGUGUGGUGAGAUGAUUCGUAGCAAGCAACAAGUAACAAAAGUAGCAAUGGUGCAGCAAAGUGGCCCAAUCCCUUUUGUACAAGGGACAAGCCUGGACAAACUCUUAUAGGAGGAAAAACACUCCCGUGGACACACGGGAAUUUCUGUCAUGCUAGUUUUCAUCAUGUUCAUAUNNNNNNNNNNNNNNNNNNNNNNNNNNNNNNNNNNNNNNNNNNNNNNNNNNNNNNNNNNNNNNNNNNNNNNNNNNNNNNNNNNNNNNNNNNNNNNNNNNNNNNNNNNNNNNNNNNNNNNNNNNNNNNNNNNNNNNNNNNNNNNNNNNNNNNNNNNNNNNNNNNNNNNNNNNNNNNNNNNNNNNNNNNNNNNNNNNNNNNNNNNNNNNNNNNNNNNNNNNNNNNNNNNNNNNNNNNNNNNNNNNNNNNNNNNNNNNNNNNNNNNNNNNNNNNNNNNNNNNNNNNNNNNNNNNNNNNNNNNNNNNNNNNNNNNNNNNNNNNNNNNNNNNNNNNNNNNNNNNNNNNNNNNNNNNNNNNNNNNNNNNNNNNNNNNNNNNNNNNNNNNGAUCUGAACAUAAACUCUUCCACCAAGUAAUCCAACUAGCAUCAACUACAAAGAGUAAUUAACACUACUAGCAACCUUACAAGUACCAAUAGGAGUCGCGAGAUGGAGAUUGGUUACAAGAGAUGAACUAGGGUUUGGAGAUGAGAUGUUGCUGAUGAAGAUGUUGAUGGUGAUGAGUCCCCUCCGAUGAGAGGAGUGUUGGUGAUGACGAUGGCGACGAUUUCCUCCUCCGGGAGGGAAGUUUCCCCGACAGGAUCGUCCUGCCGGAGCUCUAGAUUGGUUCUGCUCAAGUUCCGCCUCGUGGUGGCGGCGAAUCCUCCGAAAAGCCUCUUCGUGAUUUUUUCCAGACCGAAACCCUUCUUGUAGCAAAAGAGGGGGGCAAGUGGGCUAGCAGGGAGCCCACAAGCCCCCUAGGCGCGGCCAGGGGGGUGGCCGCGCCUAGCAGGCUUGUGGCCACUUGCUGGCGCCCCUGUGGCACUUCUUCGGCCCAGUAUUUUUUAUAAAUCCCAAAAAAAACCAUGUUGAUUUUCGGCUUUUGGAGUUGCGCAGAAUAGGCAUAUCAAACUUGCUCAUUUUUAGGCCAGAAUUCCAGCUGCCGGCAUUCUCCCUCUUCAUGUAAACCUUGCAAAAUAAGAGAGAAAAGGAAUAAGUAUUGUACCGUGAAGUGAAAUAACAGCCCAAAAAGCGAUAAAUAUCAACAUGAAAGCGUGAUGCAAAAUGGACGUAUCAACUCCCCCAAGCUUAGACCUCGCUUGUCCUCAAGCAAAAGCCUAGAUCAAUAAACAUGCCCACAUGUUUAGGGAGAGAGGUGUCGACAAAACAAGAUACGAACAUGCGGGCAUCAUGAUCAUGAUCAGAACAGCAAUACCAUCAUAUCAUCUCUUAUGCUAAAGUGACAAUUCAUUCACAAAGUAAAGUAUGGAUCAAGAACCUUACUGAGAAUUAACAACCGAUGGCCUUUAGUCAUUGAAGCAAUUGCAAUUUAUCACAACAUCAGAAAGAGUCAAAUAAGAGCUUGUAAAGCAAUCCACAUACUCAAUCAUCCUUUCGUUCUCUACAAUUGCUACAACUCACGUGGUACUCAUGAGAUCAAAGUUUCAGUUGGACACACAGAAAGAUAGGGGCUUAUAGUUUUGCCUCCCAACUGCUUACCUCAAGGGUAAUGUCAACAAUAAUAAUUCAUGAAUACUUACUUCCAAGUUGACAUAUGAAUAUAGAUCUUUCCCUAGCAUAUGACGUUAGCCAAGAUAAAGGAGAAAUAAGGAAUUGGUGAAGAUCACCAUGACUCUUUCAAGGGCAAAAAGUAAAGGUACAAGAUAGGCCCUUCGCAGAGGGAAGCAGAGGUUGUCAUGCGCUUUUGAGGUUUGGAUGUGUGUCCUCUUAGUGCGGAGGAACGUCACUUUAUAUUGCCUCCUGUGAUAAAGAACUUUAUUAUGCAGUCUGUCGCUUUUAUGUCUUCCUCAUCACAGGUUCGUACAAAGCUUAUUUCCACACACUAAUAGAUCAUACAUAUUUGGGAGCAAUUUUUAUUUCUUGCACCGAUGACAACUUACUUGAAGGAUCUUAUUCAAUCCAUAGGAAGGUAUGGUGGACUCUCAUGGCAAAACUGGGUUGAAGGUUUAUGGAUGCACAAGUAGUAUCUCUACUUGGUGCGGGAGUUUUGGCUAAUAUGAGGUGGAAGCAAUCGUCACAUGCUAAGGGAUCUCUAAUCAUAUAACAUUGUUCAGAACCAAGCAAACACAAUUCAUUAUGUUGUCUUCCUUGGACAACAUCUACUUCUAAGCAUGCAAUAGUUUAGUGAGUGUCCACAAUCAUAGAUGGUGUCAAAGAUGAGAUAUUUAUAUGUGAACCUCUCCUUCUUUAUCACUUCCUUUUAAUUGCAACAAUGACCAAGGUCUACGUUUGUCUACCCUCAACAAGUUUCAAUCAUCAUUCUUUUUAUAUGUGGAGCCAUCACUUCCCAUAAGAUCAUUACAUGAUCUUUCAUGCUUUUGUUCUUUUCUCAUCCUUUUGAUCAUGACAAGAGACAAAGCCCUUAACCAAGACACUCUUUAUUAUAUGGCUCACGAGCUCGAAUACAUCAGGGGUGACACAAAGCAAAACUCAAGCCUAAAACACUAAGACUUUUAUUCUACUAGAGAAAGAGAAAACUUAAAAGGAACAAACUAAAACAAAGGUAAAGGCAAAAGAGGUGAUGGUGAUACGAUUCCGGGGCAACUCCCCCAAGCUUGGCACAAGCCAACGGGAUUGCCCAUACCCAUGCUCAGUUGUCUUUCUUUGGAGGUGAUGGUGGUGGAGUUGUUGCAAUCUUUGAUUCCAAGAGGGCCAUUAAUCUUUAAUUUAUACCUUGGAGAUCUGUGAUAUGUUCCUCCAGCAAAACAACUUCACGAGCGAGAUAAGUAUUGCGAGCAUGAGUUGUUUCACAAGACCUCAAGAGUUCAAUCAAGGAUGGAGACAGUAGGUGGAAGUAGGGUUGGAGGAAAUCCACUUCUUCAACUUCUUCCUUGUUGAGCACAGAUUGCACUUCAUCCCACGCCUGAUUCUUCUCCUUAGUUUUGCCCUUGGUUUCUUUAGCUAGCCUUUACUUAGCCUCCAUGACCUCCAUCCUUUUUAGAUCAACACUUACUUCUCCAUAAACUUGAGGGAGAUUGUUCUCCCCCACAGAUUCCUGAGACAACAUCUUGCUCUAAAUUUGCGACAGAAAACAGGCUCGAAAUGAAAACAGAGGAAAUCUGCAUGAUACAAGGGUCAGACCUUUCGGGAGAUUAUAUAAUGAUUCUUUUCAGACCAGAAAGAGUACUCCGCACGAAAAUGGAGUCCGGGAGGCACACAAGGUGGCCAGAAGCCCCCCCAGGCGCGGCCAGGGGGUGGGCCCGCGCCUGGCAGGCUUGUCGCCUCCUCGCACGCUUUCCGGACUACUUCCAAUUUUUCUAUUUUUUCAAAUAUUCCAAAACGGAGAAAAAAAUCCUACUGGAAAAGUUUUGGAGUCUGUUUUCUUACCGAAUCACAUACCUCUUCGUUUUUGGAGUCUCGAACAGGCUGAUAAAUAUCCCUUAGGUAUUCUUCCGGAGUUCUGGUAUUGAUAAUAUUGCUUUCAACAUUAAUGGGAGUACGUGAGAUAUAAUGCUUGAUUCUCUGUCCAUUUACCACUCUCGGACAAUCACCUUCCAUGUUGUUGAUCUUGAUAGCACCGGAACGAUAUACUUCCUCAACAAUAUAGGGAUCUUACCAUUUAGAGAGAAGCUUGCCUGCAAAAAAGUCUUAAACGAGAAUUAUAUAGCAAGACAUAAUCACCUACAUUGAACUCACACUUUUGUAUCCUCUUAUCAUGCCACCUCUUAACCUUUUCUUUGAACAACUUGGCAUUCUCAUAUGCCUGAGUUCUCCAUUCAUCAAGCGAGCUAAUGUCAAAUAACCUCUUCUCACCAGCAAGUUUGAAAUCAAAGUUGAGCUCUUUGAUUGCCCAAUAAGUUUUAUGCUCUAGCUCAAGAGGUAAAUGACAUGCUUUACCGUACACCAUUUUGUACGGAGACAUGCCCAUGGGAUUCUUAUAGGAAGUUCUAUAAGCCCGCAGUGCAUCAUCGAGCUUCUUAGACCAAUUCUUUCUAGACCUGUUGACAGUAUUUUGCAGAAUCAGUUUAAUCUCUCUAUUGCUUAGCUCUGCUUGACCACUGGACUGAGGGUGAUAGGGAGACGCAAUUCUAUGGUUGACAUCGUACUUAGCAAGCGUUUUACGGAAAGCACCAUGAAUGAAAUGUGAACCACCGUCGGUCAUUAGAUAUCUAGGGACUCCAAAUCAAGGGAAAAUAACUUCUUUAAGCAUCCUGAUAGAGGUGUUGUGAUCAACACUACUAGUGGGGAUAGCUUCUACCCACUUAGUGACGUAGUCAACAGCAACUAGGAUAUGAGUAUACCCGUUGGAUUUUGGAAAAGGUCCCAUAUAAUCAAAGCCCCAAACAUCAAAUGGUUCAAUGACAAGUGAAUAGUUCAUAGGCAUGUCCUGACGUUUACUGGUAUUACCUAUUCUUUGACAUUCGUCACAAGACAAGACAAAUUUACGAGCAUCCUUGAAGAGAGUGGGCCAAUAGAAACCUGAUUGCAAUACCUUGUGUGCAGUUCUAUCUCCCGCAUGGUGUCCUCCGUAGGCCUUGGAGUGACACUUCUGUAGGAUUUGUCCCUGUUUAUGUUCAGGUACACAACGUCUAAUAACACCAUCUACUCCUUCCUUAUAAAGGUGAGGAUCAUCCCAAAAGUAAUGUCUCAAGUCAAAGAAGAAUUUCUUCUUUUGCUGGUAUGUGAAACUAGGUGGUAUAUAUUUGGCAACGAUAUAGUUUGCAUAAUAAGCAUACCACGGUGCACUACGUGAAGCAUUGAUGACACUCAAUUGCUCACCGGGAAAGCUAUCAUCAAUAGGUUGUGGGUCAUCAAGAAUGGUCUCCAACCUAGACAAGUUAUCUGCUACUGGGUUAUCAGCACAAAACAAAACAAAAGAAAAAGAGGAAAUUAGAAAGAGGAAAUAAUAGANUUCAACAUGAAAGUUGAUCAGCACAACGAGACGAACCCGGAUACACGGUCCAUUCGUGUGUCACGCGUCCCUAGCAUAGCAAACAUGGAACAUUUCCAUCGUUUCUAGUAUGACCGGUAGUAGCCCGAGACCCGAAAAAUAUUGUCAGAUAUUCUUCCGACCCGUCUAUGACGGAUGUUGCUGCGUUAGCUCAUGUCUAGCCUACAUCUUGCCAUGUCAUGCUUUGUGUUGCACCAUUGCUAUUAUUUAUUGUUUCUUCCCCCUCUUCUUACCGGUAGACCCCGAGACUGACGCUGCUGCUGGGUACAUCUACGACCCUGCCGAUCAGUCCUUUGCCGCAGAGCAGCAAGGCAAGCAAACCCCCCUUGAUCAUUCCUAUAUUGCCUAUGUCUUUCUUCCUACUGCUUGCAUUAGUAUUUUGCUAUUGUUGUAGUUAGCUCCUAUAUCUGAUGCAUAGCCUAUUUUUGAUGAACUGCUACUUUCAGUCCUGUACUUUAAAUCUGCUUAGUAUAGGUGGAGCAGUCAUCCCCUCUGACCCCGUAGUCCAGUUGCCCCGCUUGUUUUCAAAUCUCGAUCUCUGAUCGACGAGCCAGACCUGACACAACACUUACACCCCCUUCGUUGUACGAUGCUACAAGGAUACUAUCGGGUACCGAGGGUGACACCUCGCUAAGUACUCCUGAUGAUAUCUCUGUAGUAUAGCUAGUCGGUCGUGGUUAUCGAGGGUGAUUCCUCUUUCACCAUUCCCAAUGAUGCCUCUGUCGUGCAACCCCUCAAGUGUGGGACCCCCAAGGGUGAUUCCUCUAAGCCCACCUUGACGGGUACAUCAUUCGGAAUCCAACUAGGGUGAUACCUCGGAUCCCCCCCGAUGUUACAACCACACAGUUACUCGACCAUGUUACUGGGAUCGUUGAUGUUUAGUUGUAAGACGGGUGGAUUCCCGUGAGACUGUGUUGUUGGCCUAAUUAAAAUGUUAAUGGAUUUGGGUAUUUGAUCUGGGUUGGUUGGAGACCUUUUCGCACUAACCUGCUACGUGGGAAGAAUUAUGGGUACUCGGCGUCACGGUAUCAGCCGAAGCUUUUCAGAUGUCAGCAAUCGUAGUGGCGCAUGCCCGAGUGGUCUCGAGAUGCAUUGCGCUUGUGAUUAAGGGAUGCUAGGACUGACGUUGGCCGCCCUCGCAUCGUGCAGGAGCGCGGAGGGGAACUGGGCCCAUGAACCCUUUGCGCUUAGGAUUUAGACCGGCGGGCUGACCUCUCUGAUUAGUCUUAGGUGGGGCUGCGACGUGUCGAUAUUCCGAGGCCGGGCAGGACCCAGAAAAGUAUGUCCGGCCAGAGUGUUAUCGAGCGUGACAGGACAUGUGGUGCACCCCUGCAGGGAUGAAAAUUAACUAUUCGGAUAGUCGUGUCCACGGUUAUAGGACGACUUGGAGUUGUGCCCCGAUCUUAUACAACUACAAUUGUUACUUAACUGGAAUUAGUUUGCCUCGGGAUUGCUUCCUCGCACGGAGUCGAGGGAGGAUCUUUAGGCAUGACCUCACUUUAAUAUUGCUGCAACAAUAUGACUUUUAAUGUGUUACCCCUGUUCUACUCUCGUCUAUUGCUGCAAGACCCUGAAGAUGCUAGUCUUCGAUAGGACUAGGCCUUCUCUCUUUAUUCUCGCAUUGCUGCAGUCAGUCCACAUAUAGCCCCCCCUUCUUUGAUACUGAUGCAUAAUUAUAAUAGUUCUGAUGUAAGACUUGCGAGUACUUUGGAUGAGUACUCACUUCUGCUUUGCUCCCCCUCUUGUCCCCUCGAUCCGUUGCUGCGACCAGAUGAUGGAGCCCAGCAGAUGGAGGUCCCCGCCGCCGACGACUCCUACCCCGACGGUGCGUACUACUACGUGGAGGCCGCUGAUGAUCAGGAGUAGUUAGGAGGUUCCCAGGCAGGAGGCCUCGCCUCGUUCGAUCGUUGUAUCUUUUGUGCUAGCCUUCUCUAAGGCACCCCAUGUUUUAUGUCUGUACUCAGAUUUUGUUGCUUCCGCUGACUCGUGUGUUUAUCGAGCUUUCGUAUUCUAGCCCUCGAGGCCCCUGGCUUGUAAUAUGAAGCUGAUGUUAUUUUAUUUGUGUCUAGAGUUGUGUUGUGAUAUCUUCCCGUGAGUCUUUGGGUUUGAUCGUACACAUUUGCGUAUAUGAUUAGCAUAUGAUUAAAUCGAGGGCGUCACAAGUUGGUAUCAGAGCCGACUGCCUCUAGGUAGCCCCCUUUCCAACUCCUUGGCCGAAGUUUAGUCCAGUGUUUGAAAUACUUUACUAACACUGAUGUUGUGCCUUACGGGCCCACAUCUCAAUUGGGUGGUAUUAGUAUCUUUUACUCCUUCCUAUACUCUGGGUUCUACUCUCUCUUCUCUUUCGGGUCAAAGAUUUUACUAACUCUAACAUUAGGUUCUCGAAUCACAUCGACCCGGAGCGCUGGACUAUCUACUCUUUCUCCUGAAUAUAUAUUACACACACUGUCUUUUGACAUCCGUCAAUCUUAUUUUCAGAUGCGUCCUGCAAGACAGCACGUGCGCCUGACACAGGCCAAUGAGACGACUGGGUUCCCGGCCAUUUUGGUCGACCUCCUGACCAGGCUGGGAUAUCGCUGGUACCCCGAGUACACUGUGUUCGAGGAUUUCCGCGAGUACAACCAGUACCAGUACCAGGAUGAGGUUCGCAUCUUCGACCAGAGGGGAGGCAAGACCCUCGAGCGCCACGUCUUCUGUGGUAUUGGAGUGUCGGUCGAGAUGGCCGUCCAUGAUGUGGCCUACAUCGCCAUCACCUGUCUCCAUGGAGCGUACCCUCACCUGGAGGAGAGCCCUUUCAGAUACAUCCCGCAUGCUCCUGCUUGGGAUGAGACUGGGUCUGAUCUCACUGCCUACGCUUCUGAAGUUCGGGAGCGCAUCGACCGUUCCUACGUCGCUGUCUGCGCCCCCUACGUGACGCGUCGCUACGACGCACGGUUUCUGGUGCAGUACACUCAGGCAAUGGAUCGUGCUUUCCGAGCUCUAACUGUGGAGCUGUAUGCUACGCGCGCUCGUCUUUACGACGCGUUGACAGAGCUGCAACCAUCACACUGCCCGAGGGUUCCCCCCUAUGCGCAUCCGCGAGCCGAGCAGGACAGAGCUACCAUCAGCUCUCGAGUGGACUGAUGUUGGGGGUAGAAACCCUGCACUUGGACCUCAGCUCCUCGACUGGAUGCGGUACCCUCACCAGAGUCACAACGGGACACAGGGUCCUGUUACUACCUUCUAUCACCGCCAGCUACCAGGAUUCGAUCGUCCUCUCCGACGUUGAUGUAGCCUUAUCGCUACAUCUUGUUGUGGUACUCUUCCACCGCGUGCCUGCGCGCCGCCUAGUGAGUCCAGGGUAUCGUCUAAUGCGUCUGGGCUAUCGCAAAAUUUCGAAUUUGUAAUCGUUAGUCUGUACUCGAACUUAUGUGUGGGUCUGUAUGUCGAACUCAACUACUAUGGAGUAACUAUCGCAUUUCCCUUUCAUUAUGCUUGAUUACUUCGUGAAUGUGUGCGAUGCCUUUGCAAUUACUUUAAGCUAAACUACCCCUGUUAAAUAUUUAACAGGAUGGUUAGACCAGCUGGCCGCCCGCGUGCCCCUGCCAACGAUGCACCACCCCCGCCUCCUGAGUAUAUGGCGGGGAUGAUCCAACAGUUUGAGCUGAACCGUCAGUUUAUGCAAGGGCUCAUGGAUCAGUUCCAAAGGCCGAACAUGAACCAACCACAAGGCGUGACACUGCAAGACUUCUGCCGCCUCAACCCUGCGAUCUACCGCAGCUCAACUCAGCCUCUUGAUGCCGAUGACUGGCUCCGUGACAUUUCUUAUGAGCUGGAGUGUGCCAAUGUGCCCCAGGCGAGCUAUGUCAACUUUGCCGCCUACUUUCUGAAGGGUCCCGCUGCUCAAUGGUGGGACAGCCACAGGCGCUCUCAGCCCGAUGGAACUAUCAUCACUUGGGCAGAGUUCAAGGCUCCUUUCCGUGCUCGCUACAUUCCCUAGGGAAUCAUGGACUAGAAGAAGCGUGAGUUCCGCAACUUGGUCCAGGGCAACAAGACUGUGGAUGCUUAUCAGCGGGAAUUUCUCGACUUAUCUCGCUAUGCUGAAGAAGACAUUGCAACUGAUGCACGCAGGCAGGAGAAGUUCCGUGAAGGCCUCCACCCUGAUAUCAAGCUGACACUCCUCGUUCAGGACUAUGCUGAUUUCGCCACCCUGGUGAACAAGGCUAUUCAGGUUGAGACUGGUCUGCAGGAAUACAAAGAUAGCAGCAAGCGCAACCGUGACAUGGGCUCAUCUUCGGGCUCAUGUGCACAGAAGCGAAAGAUCUGGAUUCCCAACAACAUGUACCAUGCACCUGCUCCUGCUCCGAGGCUGUCCUAUGCUGCACCUCGCCUACCUCCUCCACCACCUAGGCAGCCGAGGCUUCCAGCUCCACCGCCUCGAGUUCCUCCUUCCCGUCCUGAGGACGGGCUGUGCUUCAAGUGUGGCCGUCCAGGUCACCGUGCUAGAGACUGCAGGCAGAAUCCGAAUCAGCUGACACUUCCCGCAACUGGCAGUGGCAACAACCAGAACCGCAACUUCAACGCUAAGCCUGCUUAUGUUCGUGGUCAGGCCAACAACAUUGAUAUGGGUCAAGCUCAAGACCAGCCUACUACCGUGAUGGGUACACUUCUCGUUAACUCAGUACCUGCUUCUGUAUUGUUUGAUACAGGAGCAUCACAUUCCUUUAUGUCGGAAAGUUUUGCAUUCAUGCAUGGCAUUAAGUACGAAGAGAUGAACGUCCCAAUAGUUGUAAACACCCCCUCGGGCCAAUGCCGACCCUCCAUGGUCUGCUCCAAUGUCCCAUUGAAAUUGAAGGAUUGGAAUUCUUUGCCUCUCCCAUGUUAUUAAGUUCUUCCAACAUUGAUCUCAUACCGGGGAUGGACUGGUUUAAAGCUCAUACGGCAUCGGUCGUUUGUGCCACCAAGACCGUCCACCUCCUACACCCUUCAGAUGAAUUAAUAAGCUACCAUGCUCAUCUCGUCCGUAAUGCUGAGGCACGGUUGUAUGCUUUGAAUGCAUUAAAUGCGUCGCCUCUUGAAGGGAUUGAAAACAUCCCAGUGGUCCGAGAAUUUCAAGAUGUCUUCCCAGAAGAACUUCCGGGGAUUCCCCCUACUCGAGCUGUCGAGUUUGUCAUUGACUUGGUACCCGGUACCACUCCUAUUGCAAAGCGCCCUUAUAAAAUGCCACCACAUGAACUCCUUGAACUUAAGCAAGAAAUUGACAACUCGCUCCGUCUGGGUUUCAUCCGUCCGAGUUCCUCUGCUUGGGGAGCACCUUCUCUCUUUGUUAAGAAGAAGGAUGGGACAAAUCGAUUGGUUCAAGACUAUCGUCCUAUCAACCAGGCCACUAUUCAAAACAAAUAUCCUCUCCCUCGGAUAAAUGAUUUGUAUGAUCAACUUGCUGGUUCCACCGUCUUCUCUAAGCUCGACUUGAGGUUGGGAUACCACCAGAUCCAUGUUCGCAAGGAGGAUAUUCCAAAGACCGCCUUUGUUACUCGAUAUGGAUCAUACGAGUACACCGUCAUGUCCUUCGGCUUAACCAAUGCACCGGCAACCUUCUCUCGAUUGAUGAAUUAUAUAUUCAUGGACUACCUCGACAAAUUUGUCAUGGUAUAUCUGGAUGAUAUUCUGGUAUUUUCGAAGAACAAAGAAGAGCAUGCUGAACAUCUUCGUCUUGUACUGGAUAAGCUUCGGGAGCAUAAACUCUAUGCGAAGUAUUGCAAAUGUGAGUUCUGGCUAGACGAAGUGACUUACCUUGGUCAUGUGAUUUCCAAGGAUGGUAUUGCGGUCAACCCCGAACGAAUUCAAGCUAUUCUUGUCUAGACUCCCCCGAAGAAUGUUAAGCAAGUCAGAAGUUUUCUCGGACUCGCCAGCUAUUGCCGUCGAUUUGUCGAGAACUUCUCCAAGAUUGCGAAGCCCUUAACCAAUCUGCUUCACAAAGGUGUUAAGUAUGAGUGGACUGAUAAAUGUCAGGAAAGUUUCCAGGCGCUCAAGGACAAACGUACGUCCGCUCGAGUACUUGCUCCUCCAGAUACGAAAAGGGAUUUCGUCAUAUACUGUGAUGCUUCUCGUCAAGGAAUAGGUUGUGUCCUAAUGCAGGAUCGCAAGGUGAUCGCUUAUGCUUCACGUCAACUGCGUGCUCAUGAAGAGAACUACCCAGUUCAUGAUCUCGAGCUUGCCACAGUCAUUCAUGCAUUGAAGGAAUGGUGACAAUACCUUGUCGGUAAUCGCUGUGAAAUCUACACCGACCAUCAAAGUCUGAAGUACUUGUUCACUCAACCGGAGCUGAACCUACGUCAACAAAGAUGGAUGGAGCGUAUAGCAGAUUUUGACUGUAGUAUAUCAUAUACCCCUGGCAAGGCUAACAUAAUGGCUGAUGCCUUGAGUCGCAAGUCAUACUGCAACCACCUCCAGGUUCAUAAGGUUCACGAUCGUCUGCAAGAGGAAUUCCGUAAGCUGAACCUCCACGUUGUUCCUCAGGGUUACCUUGUUCCCCCUCCUGAAGAGUGUCAAAAUAUGAACCUUCGUGUUGUUAAUCAGGGUUCCCUCAGUAACCUAGUGGUUGAACCAGAUCUUGUGAGCUCCAUAAAGAAUCUGCAAGGCUUUGACGAUGAUGUCGACAUGAUUAAGAGCUAUAUUGCGAAGGGUAAACCCUCCUUUUUCACUGUUGAUGAAGAUGGCGCCUUGUAUUUCAAGGGUCGCCUAUUCGUCCCAAAUAAGAAGGAAAAUCUCAGGAUGACCGGGAAGGUGAUGGAAGAAGCUCAUGACACACCAUUGUCUAUUCACCCGGGUAGUACCAAGAUGUACCAAGACAUCCGGCAAAGAUUCUGGUGGCCCAAUAUGAAACAAGACAUUGCAUGCUAUGUGGCAGAAUGUGAUAUAUGUCGGCGUAUCAAAGCAGAACACCAAAAGCCUGCUGGGACUCUGCAACCUAUCUCUAUUUCGGAGUGGAAAUGGGACCAUGUUGAAAUGGACUUUGUCACUGGUUUUCCCAGAUCUCAGAAAGGUAAUGAUGCUAUUCUUGUCGUCAUUGAUCGACUGUCCAAAGUUGCACAUUUCCUGGCCGUCAAAGAAACAAUUAAUGCUAGUCAGCUGGCAGAUCUUUAUAUGUCAAGAGUUGUUUCACUUCACGGUAUUCCGUUGGUAAUCAGUUCGGACCAUGGCAGCUUGUUCACUUCAAAAUUCUGGGAAAGUUUUCAGAAGGCUAUGGGGACUCAUCUGUCCUUCAGCACUGCAUUUCAUCCUCAAUCCCAGGGACAAGUUGAACGAGUCAACCAAAUUCUCGAGGACAUGCUUCGAGCUUGUGUCAUUUAUUUCGGUAAGAAAUGGGAGGAAUAUCUCCCGUAUGCCGAGUUCUCUUACAACAAUAGCUAUCAAGCUAGUCUGAAGAUGGCCCCUUUCGAAGUAUUGUAUGGGCGAAGGUGUCGAACUCCUCUGAAUUGGUCAGAAAUUGGGGAACGAUCACUCUUCGGUCCAGAUAUUAUUCAACAUGCCGAAGAUCAAGUCUGCAUUAUUCAUGAGAAUCUGAAGGCUGCUCAGUCUCGUCAGAAGAGUCAGUAUGACCGUCAUCAUCAAGAUAUGGUCUAUCAACCUGGCGAAAAGGCUUAUCUUCGUGUCACACCAAUGAGAGGUGCACACCGUUUCGGAAUCAAGGGCAAGUUAGCUCCUCGUUAUAUUGGUCCUUUCACUGUUAUCGAAAGGCGUGGAAGAGUGGCUUAUCAAUUGGAACUGCCGGCGAACCUUUCUCAGGUUCACGAUGUCUUCCAUGUUUCUCAGCUCCGUCGCUGCUUCAAGGACCCUAUUCGAGCAGUGGAUCACGAUAUGCUUGAGCUACAACAAGACCUCUCUUAUAAAGAGCAUCCGGUCCGCAUUCUUGACCAAGCUGAACGUAAGACUCGUCGCAAGGUCACCAAGUUCCUUAAGGUGCAGUGGUCAAAUCACUCUGAAGAUGAAGCCACUUGGGAACGCGAGGAUCAUCUUAGUGAUGAAUACCCCAGGCUCUUUCCCUCUACCUCUUAAUUCUCGGGACGAGAAUUCUUGUUAGUAGGGGAGAAUUGUGACAUCCUCGACUUUUGCUACAGUAAAUAUUGUAAUUAAGCUACAGUGAUCACCCGCUAAUGAUGCCACAUCAUCGAGAAUUACCGUCGUUGACCCGCAUUGAAUUUCUAUCCGGAUUCAGAAAUUGAAAACAAAAGAAAAGUAUAUUUAUAAAUUCAUAUUAACUAUUAAAGGAAGACAUGUAUAGAAAGAAAGUAUUAAAAAUAAUAAUAAUAAAAGAAAGAAAAGAAAAGAAAUUAAAAAAAGGAAAUUAGAAAGAGGAAAUAAUAGAAAAAGAAAAAAAACAAAAAAAAAGAAAAAAAAAGAAAAAA